CCAUUGGGGUUCAUCAUCUCCCAGUUGAAAGAGAUUUAUAAUUUGGAUAUUUAUUUAUUUAUUUUAUUUUUAAAAAAAGAUUUUAUUUAUUUAUUCAUGAGAGACACACACACACAGAGAGAGGCAGAGACUCCAUGCAAGGAGCCUGAUGCGGGACUUGAUCCCAGGACUCCAGGAUCACACCCUGGGCCAAAGGUAGGCGCUAAACUGCUGAGCCACCCAGGGAUCCCCUAAUUUGGAUAUUUAUACUUUGUGCUGUAAUGUUUUUCGGGUUUUGACAAAUGCCAUAUUGUUGUGAAUUCACAACUACACUAUUGUAGAAUAGUUUCACCAUCCUAAAAAUUCCCUCAUGGUUCACCUAUUCAGUGCUACCUCCUCCCCAAACCUCUGGCAAAUACUGAUCUGUUUUCUGUCUCUGUUUCAUCUUUUUCCAAAUGUCACAGAAAUGGAAUCAUAUAGUAUGUCCCCUUUUCAGACUGAUCUUCACAUCUCAUUCUUUUUUUAUCACUGGGUAGUAUUCCAUUGUGUGGAUGGACCAGUUCAUUGAUCCAUUUACCAACUGAAGUCUGUCUUGCUUGCAUCCAGUUUUUAGUGAUUAUCUUCUGGGAUUUCCUAUGAAUUACUCACUCUCCAGAAGUCCUGCUAAACCUAAAGGUUAUGUGUCCAGCACAGUCAUUCAACAAUCCACCUCAGGCACCAAAGGGAGAAAACAUACGAAGGCAACCUGUAAACCCAGAUCCAGGGAGAGUGGCAAGGUGCCCAAAACAACUACAAGGGUAGAAAGACAUCUUCGAAAGAAUUUAACAGGAAAAGCUUCUCCAAAACCUUCCACCUCUUCAAGAAAACUCAAGAAAGGUAAAAGAACAACACUGUUUGGACACUACCACAGGCUGAAAAAAGCGCUAAAGCACAAUGAGUCAGAGAGACGCCAAGAAAGGGGGGAAAAACCCACCACUUCAUGUGCUUAUCUGGGCAGCCAAUAACUCCAGAGCAAGGCCAGGGAUCUCAGACCUCCCUGCCAAGUCUCUGACGUUUGGCCCUUGAAAAUUGGCCAACUGUCUAGACAUCGAGUGUUACACCGAUGGGAUAAAACAUUCGUGAAAAUCAAAAUAAAACCAGCCUGUUACAAAAAUGUACGUGUCUC
rnacentral:lncRNA from 12 species